rnacentral:lncRNA from 1 species
ACCAGCACUAAGUAGAAGAAGGAGAAGAACAAUGAGAGGCAACAAUGCUUUUACAGCCGCUGCUUUGUUGUUUUGUUGUAUGUUUUGUGACCAUUUGACUAUUACCAGUUUUUUUGUUGUUAUAUUUAAUGUAUUGUGUUUGUUGAAACAAUGGUGGGCAUCAUAGUAUCAUCGUAACAAGCUUUCACAAUCAGAAUGUAUUAUGACAAGUAUGUUGCCGCCUAUUAUAAUUCAUAGUAGUGAAGAACUUUUCAUUAUCUGUUAUAACAGAAUUCUGUUAUGAGUUAUUUACAAACAGUAGCACACAGUUGCAUUUAUAGUAGCAACUGUGUGACCUGCUACAGCAGGUUACCUGUUGCUGAGACUUGACACAUGUCAGUCAUUACAAGGUAAACUAGACUUAACCUCUCUCUCUUAGUUAUACUCUAAUACCCCCCCCCCACAAACUCAAGGGGAGCUACUGUUAGCAACUCUGAGUUUGUGCCGAAGUUCCAGGAACUUUGUAGAAGAAAGAGGCUUAGUGAGGGCAUCCGCAAUUUGAUCCACACCAGGAAUGUGAGCAACUCUGAUUUGCUUUGCAAUAACCUUUUCUCGAACAAAAAAGAGAUCAAUCUCCAUAUGUUUAGUCCGCGAGUGCAUGAUGGGAUUAUGUGCCAGCAUCACUGCAGAUUGAUUGUCACAGAGCACCAAGGGCUGUUGAGUAGAAACACACAGUUCAGAUAAUAAAGUCUGAAGCCACAGUAGGUCAGCAGUGGCUUGAGCUAAGCUUCGAUACUCAGCUUCUGUGCUGGACCUAGCAACUACAGGUUGCUUUUUAGACCACCAAGAGACCAAGUUGCCUCCAAAAUAAAUGGCUGCACCAGAGGUGCUUCUUCGGUCAUCUGGGUCAGAGGCCCAGUCAGCAUCACAAAAGACUUGAAGAGAGGGAGGACUAGAGGAAGUGUAAGGGGACAGAUGAAGCCCAUACUGAAUAGUGCCCUGGAGGUACCGUAGAAUUCGUUUGACAGCAACCCAGUGUGAUUCUAGAGGAUGAGACAUAAAUUGACAAACUUUAUUGACUGCAUAGGCAAUAUCAGGCCUGGUGAUAGUGGCAUAUUGGAGGGCACCAACAACAGACCUGUACAUGUAUGGAUCAGCAAGGGCAGGUGACCCAAGUUUGGUGAGUUUACAAGAGGACUGCAUAGGAGUGGUUACAGAACUAGAGCCAGCCAUGUUAGUUCUCUGCAGUAAAUCUCUAACAUAUUUGGUUUGAGUGAGAAACAUGGAUCCUUGAGCAGAAGGCUUGACUUCAAUGCCAAGAAAAUAAUCCAAAUUACCAAGAUGUUUGAGGGAAAAAUCAGAGUUGAGUUUGUUGAUAAUGGAGGUGAGCAGAGUAGUAUUGUUGCUAGUGAUGAUUAUAUCAUCAACAUAUACUAACAAGUAAACAGUGCUGCCAUGGGAGGCAAAGAUGAACAAGGAGGGAUCACAUUUGCUGGGUUUAAAUUGCAACUUGAGCAGGGCUGCCUGUAGUCUUUCAAACCAUUGUCUAGGGGCCUGUUUUAAGCCAUAAAGAGCUUUGUGUAGCCGGCACACCAGAGAAGAAUCAGAGGUAAUAAAGCCUGGGGGUUGAUCCAUAUACACCUCUUCAUGGAGCAGCCCAUUGAGGAAGGCAUUAUUAACAUCAAGCUGCUGGAUUGACCACUUAUGUGUGAGAGCCAUGGUGAGGAUGAGUCUGAUGGUUACUGGUUUUACCACAGGGGAGAAGGUCUCAUUGAAAUCAAAACCCUGUUUCUGGUGAAAGCCUUUGGCUACCAGGCGAGCCUUAUACCUGCUGAUUGAGCCAUCGGGAUUUUCCUUGAUGCGAAAAACCCAUUUGCAACCAAUAGACUGCCUGUUGGGAGGAAGAGGGACCAGAGACCAAGUGUUAUUUUUACACAAUGCAUCAAAUUCAGACUGCAUAGCAGCUUUCCAAUUAUCAUCAGUGAGAGCUUGUUUGACAGAUUUGGGCUCAGUGUGAGUGAGUAACAAAGUGAAAUGCUGUCUAGGUUGAAUAAACCCUGAUUUAGCCCUGGUUUGCAUAGGGUGUUGGUUAACAGGUUUGGAGUUAAUAGGUACAGCAUUUGUGGGGAGUGAGGGUGGUGUGAGAGGCAAAGGAGACACUGCAGGUGCAGGAGUGGACUCAGGAGAGCUGACGGACUGCCUUGGAGAGGUAGUAGAGGCAGGUGAGAUGUCUACAGCAGGGGAAAAGGGCACUGCUGUCAGAGGAACAGGCUUAGGCAGAGAAACAGUAGAGAAAAGUGACUCUAAGGAAGAUGCACAAUGUUGUGUGGCAGGGCUGUUACCACUGCUGGUAGGAGGGCUAGGCGGUGAAAACAGUUCAACGUAAGGAAACCUGGACUCAUUAAAAAGCACAUCCUUGGAAAUGUAUAAUUUUCCACAGGGAGAAAGACACUUGUACCCCUUGUGAGAAGUGGAAUAACCCAAAAACAAGCACUCUUGAGACCUAAAAUCCAGUUUGUGGGAAUGAUAAGGUCUCAAUAAAGGAAAACAGGCACAACCAAAUACUCUCAAGAAUUUGUAGUCAGGUGUAGUGUGAAACAACAUAGAAUAGGGUACUUGAAAUUGAAUGGCUGCAGAGGGAAGCCUAUUGAUAAGAAAAACAGCAGUUGGAAAAGCAUAAUCCCAGUAGGUCAGAGGUAAGGAUGCUUGACUCAACAGUGUUAAACCUAAAUCCACAAUAUGCCUGUGCUUUCUUUCCACCACACCAUUUUGGUGAUGUGUGUGAGGACAAAUAACUCUGUGGACUAUGCCCAAGUCAGUCAAAAAUUUGUUAAAAGGACGAAAUUCCCCACCCCAAUCAGUCUGAACAGCUUUAAUGGAAAAGCCAAGUUGCAGUUCAACAAGAGACUUAAACUGUUUAAAAACACCAAGAGCUUCAGCUUUGGAUUUCAGUAAGUAUAGCCAAGUAAACUUGGAAAAUGCAUCAACAAAGGAUAUAUAAUAUGUGAACCCUUGUGUAGAGGGUUGAGGAGAAGGUCCCCAUAAGUCACAGUAAACAAGUUCUAAAGGAUGAUUAUAAGUGGUGUGUGAGGAUGGUGAAUGCAGUCUAUGAGCCUUGCCCAUACAACAGGCAGAACAGAAAAAUUCAUGAGUUUUAUUGCUGAAAGAGAGAUUACAAUUUUGUAGCACCAACCUCAAAGUAUUAACAUUGGGGUGGCCUAAUCUUAGAUGCCAAACAUUUGAUAAGGAAGGGGAAAUACUAACAGAAUUAACAGAAGGUACAAUUUUAUUUGAAGAAUCUAGAGACAUGGCAGACUUGGAAACGUUAAGCAGACUUGGAAACUCAUAGAGCCCAUCAGAACCAACUUUACCAGCUAGCAGGACAGCAUUAGAGACCUGACAUUUCACAAAGCAUGUAUCAGCUGUGAAAAGAAAAUAAACACGAUUGUCACGACAAAACUGACUGACACUUAUGAGAUUUUUGGUGAUUGAAGGCACAUGUAAUAGAUUAUUAAGAGUGAGAGGUGUGUGUGGAUGAUUUUGAGAUAAAAAUUGACUAGAACCAGCAGAAUUAAUAACCAAACCUUGACCAUUGCCUAUGUAUAUCUGUUCAUGUCCCUCAAAAGGAGUAACUUGUUGCAAGUUAUUGGCAUCAUUGGUGACAUGAUAGGAAGCACCUGAGUCAGGGUACCAAGAAGCAGCUGAUGUAGAGGGAGCAGUAUUGGCAAUGAAGGUGCUUGGAGGAGGAUAGGCACUUGAUGACCUAGGUUGAGGAGCUUGAGGUCUAGUCCACACAUUAGCAGGAAAUUGACCAUAAGGCACUGGAGGAACAAGCCAUGGAGUUGCAGUGUAAGGAUUGCUGGGAUGAACAGUAGGUUGGAACUGUUGAUUGAACCGAUGCCAACAAUUUAGAGCAGAAUGUCCAACUUUGGAGCACACCUGACAUUGAACAUUGGAGUUUCUGCCACCUCUACCUUUUCCACGACCUCCUCUAUUAGACCUACCACCUCUGAAACUAGAAUAUUCAGGUUCAACAUAAGAAGGUGGCACCUGAGGGUUAGGAGAGUCAGUGCUGCCAGAUUGAGGCGCCUCAGGGGAAGUAGAUUGAGGCGCUGUGUGUGUAAGGUUUAGAGAGCCAAGAUCAGGCACAGUUGAUUUCUUGAACUUGUUUAGCCUUAGUUCAUGAGCAGUGAGAAGAAUCUCAACUUCAUCCAAAUCCAUAUCACCAAAUUUACUUUCAACGACGGAAACAACAGAAGCAUAUUCACUGGGAAGUCCCUCAAGAAUAACAUCAAUGUGAUGUGAACUGGGAAUAGGAUCUCCAAUGGAGGCUAAAGCAUCCACAAUCAUACGAAUCUUCAACAAAUAAUCAGAUACAGAUUGUGAAUCAAGAGUUAGGGCACGCAAUUCAACACGUAAUUGACGAGCACGCGCACGAGUUUGUUUUUGAAAAUAAGUGAACAAACGAUCCCAGAGCUGAUGCGAAUGAGAGCAUCCAAGCACUCGCGACAAAAUUUCGCUCGAAAGUGUGGAUUGAAGCCACGAUAACAGUAACUGAUCUUUCUGAAGCCAAAUCGAGUACGCAGGAUUGACCGUACCUUUACGACGAGCUUCGUCAUCAACAAAUUGAGGAGGAAUGCGAGUGCAAACAACGAGAUCUGUAAGACUAUGAGCGUUGAUGUACGGCUCCACCUGUUGACGCCAUAGAUGAAAGUUUUUCUCAUCUAGUUUAUGCGCGAUUUUGAGAGAGAACUGAAGCCGACGCGAAUCAUCAGUCGCCGCCAUGAGUGGCGAGGACGGUGGCGUAACGUGAGCGGAAGACGGCGAUCCCGGAGAAGACGGCGAUGCCAUGGAUCGAUCCUAACUAACUGAUACCAUAUUAGAAUUCAUAGUAGUGAAGAACUUUUCAUUAUCUGUUAUAACAGAAUUCUGUUAUGAGUUAUUUACAAACAGUAGCACACAGUUGCAUUUAUAGUAGCAACUGUGUGACCUGCUACAGCAGGUUACCUGUUGCUGAGACUUGACACAUGUCAGUCAUUACAAGGUAAACUAGACUUAACCUCUCUCUCUUAGUUAUACUCUAAUACCGCCUUAUUGACAGAGUACUGUAGCUUUGAGGAAGAGCUAAAAGUUGAGUCUGCUUUAUUUUAGUCCAUUCCCUAUUAUUGUAAAAGUUUUUAAAUUUGCAUUCACUGUAUCAGCCUGCAUUUUCCAAACUCUACACAAUUCCUGAUACAAUAAAGGGGAAACCAACUAGCAUGCAAAUUACAGCUUCCUGCAGCUGACAAAAUUCAUAAUUUUCUAACUUUGCAUACAUUCAAC